UACAGAGGGUGCAAGCGUUGUUCGGAAUUACUGGGCGUAAAGGGCGCGUAGGCGGUGUGUCAAGUCAGGCGUGAAAGCCCCGGGCUCAACCUGGGAACCGCGCUUGAGACUGGCACGCUAGAGUUCGGGAGAGGAUGGUGGAAUUCCCAGUGUAGAGGUGAAAUUCGUAGAUAUUGGGAAGAACACCGAUGGCGAAGGCAGCCAUCUGGACCGACACUGACGCUGAGGCGCGAAAGCGUGGGGAGCAAACAGG
rnacentral:rRNA from 1 species